rnacentral:rRNA from 1 species
UACGUAGGCAGCGAGCGUUGUUCGGAGUUACUGGGCGUAAAGGGCUCGUAGGCGGUUCGUCGCGUCGGCUGUGAAAUCCCGAGGCUCAACCUCGGGUCUGCAGUCGAUACGGGCGGACUGGAGUUCGGCAGGGGAGACUGGAAUUCCUGGUGUAGCGGUGAAAUGCGCAGAUAUCAGGAGGAACACCGGUGGCGAAGGCGGGUCUCUGGGCCGAUACUGACGCUGAGGAGCGAAAGCGUGGGGAGCGAACAGG